GUCCCCUUGGUCUAGAGGCCUAGGACACCGCCCUUUCACGGCGGUAACAGGGGUUCGAAUCCCCUAGGGGACG
rnacentral:tRNA from 1 species